rnacentral:lncRNA from 1 species
GAAAGUUUAUUUAAGAACUUUUGAAACAGAUCAUGUAAGCGUUUUGAUUGCAGGAGAAGCUUAUCGACAUCCCUCAGGUACAAGAUGAUAGAACCGGUUUCUGAUACCGAAACCAGUACCUGCAAGAGAAUGACAAUGACAUUACUUACCAUUUAAGUAACCCAAAAGAUAAACUGACCACUUGGAAUUAAAGGAAUACCUUGUAAAGUGAUUGCAGAAAAAAUUUCUCAUCGAAACACCAAACAGUCCGCUUGUUCGAUGCUACAAGAAAACAAAAAUGGACCAACAAAAUAAUAAGUAUUUUUCUACACAUCUUCUACAUAUUGACUUUAAUAAACUUAAUAUCAUAUGCAUAGCUUAAGGCUUUGCAUACAGAAAUAAAUAUAUGAAGGAUAACCUGGAUUUGAGGGAGCGCCAUUUGAAGACAUACUAUUCAUAUCAGAUAGAGACGAGCCACUUCUACGGAGUUUCUGAUGAUUGCUUGAACCUUCCACAGCCCUGCAAAGGUAUGAAGUCUAAGGUUAAAAAACUUACCUGCUUUAAACAACCAACCAGCCACACAAUAGCACCAGCAUUUACCUGGACUUCAUGUCAUUGGAACUGCUCGGUUCUUCUCUUGACGAAAGGAGCGAAAAGGAACCGAACAAGCUAUUCAUUCGGUCUAAAGUCAUCUCUGAAAUCGACCUCUUGAAAGACUGUAAAAGAUGGAACCAAAUUCAAACUGAUCAGUAUUCUUUACAGUAUGUAAUAUGCCAUUGUAGAAAAUUAGUAGGUAAAAGUAUCAUGGAGGACCCUGUAUUAGGAGUUAAAUUACAUUUUGCCUCUUUUACCCAAACAAUAGGCAAAAUAGUCCCUGUACAUUAGAUUAAAGAGCAAACUGCUCAUUUUGUUAAAAAUUACAUCCAUUUCUAUGGUUAAAAACUGGACUCUGUACAUCACCAUGAGAUACACAUGACACACCAUGUGUCACUUUUUAGUUAUUCCAUCAACCAUGUAUGUUUUGAAAAGUACAAAUUAAUGAAAUUUUUAACAGAAAAGACCAAUUUACUCUUUAAUUUAAUAUAUAGGGAUUAAUUUGCCCAUUUUUUAAGUAGAUGAGAUAAAAUGCAAUUUCACUCAUAGUACAAAGGCCUCUUAAGAUAUUUUUACCAAAAUUAGUAACAUUGAAUUAACACAAGGCGUGUCUAGGGGUAUAAAUUGAACUUACAGAUUCUUUUUUGGUACAACCAUAUUUGCUCUGCAUCUGUGGCAAAGAUAGUCAUAGAAAGAAUAAGUAGGACUUUAAUGGAAGUUUGAAACUUAAAUACAAUAAAGUUCUGCCAUUUUACCUUAAAAGAAAAAUCAGUAAUGUCCAAAAGCAGUAGCUUUGAUUCAAAGUAAUGUGCCAAAGCCUUGGCAAGCAUUUGCUGGUAAAGUUCUUCACAAAGAUUAAAUGCAAAAUCGAUUAAGUUACAACUGAUCUUCAAAAGAUGAAUAUAAACACAAUUGUAUGUUUAUUUUAGAGAAACAAUUCCAUAAACAUACCAGCAGGGCCUGAAAGCAAAAUAGCUUUGCUGACAGGUGAAAGGUUUCGUGUGUGCCGAUGAACAUCGCUGUGUUUUAGUUGAACAUAUGCAGCACUCGUCAAUAACACCCGAGUUCGCUCACUGCAUUAAACCAAAACAUAAGGAGUCAAUUUGUGAAAUCAACCUGUUCAUAGUCCAUGUAUGAUCCAAAAACAAAUCACCUGCAAACUUUAGCCGAUGAAAGGUAAAAAUACCAUGGAAGCCCUUGUUAGAAAUCAAAUUGUAUUUUGUCCCUUCUAAAAAAAAUGUAUAAGUCUCUAGAUAUUAAAUCAAAAAGUAAACUAGUCAUUUCUGUUAAAAAAUUCGUUCAUUUUUAUCAUUAAAUUAGUGUAAUUGAUGAAAUAACUAGACAAUUACAAAUAACGUGUCAUGCCAUGUGGAGCUCAUGUUGAGAUAUAGAGACCAUUUUUUAAUGAUAAAAAUGGAUGAAAUUUUUACCAAAGUACUAGUUUACUAGUUGAUCUAACUUACAGAGACUCGAUUACUUAGUACAAAGGAAUUUUAUGGUACUUUUAGCGCCUCGAAAUAAGAUGAUCAAAAUACAUUUUAACCCCCUAUCAGCCACCAAAAGAACAAAAAGAUAUAUAUAUAUAAAAUAAAAUUAAGAUCACGUGUGUUCAUAAAUGUUAGAAGCAUGUGCAAAGAAUAUCUCCAUGCCAAACCAUGCACAUGAUGAUUGUACAUACCAAAACCAACAACUUUUUGUUCUCCGACUGUAAUUGAUCAUUGGGGGCUACUAUCAAACACAAGAACAACUAAUGGAAGUAUAAGCACAAAUCUUAAAGGAAAACAAACAGAACAGCAACAAGAACAAGAAUCCAUUACAGGCUUACCUAAGGUAAUAAGGGAAGUCAUCAAAGGUGACAUUGCUACGCUUUCCAUCAACAACUUGUCUCAUAAGUUCUUGUUCAAUUUGGUCACCAGUAAUACCAUCAUCUGAAGAAAAUUUGCCAGUCCAUUUGCUUACAGUUUGCCCUGAAGCUAAUCCAAGACCGACCCC